rnacentral:rRNA from 1 species
GACGAACGUUGGCGGCGUGCUUAACACAUGCAAGUCGAACGGAAAGGCCCUGCUUUUGUGGGGUGCUCGAGUGGCGAACGGGUGAGUAACACGUGAGUAACCUGCCCUUGACUUUGGGAUAACUUCAGGAAACUGGGGCUAAUACCGGAUAGGAGCUCCUGCUGCAUGGUGGGGGUUGGAAAGUUUCGGCGGUUGGGGAUGGACUCGCGGCUUAUCAGCUUGUUGGUGGGGUAGUGGCUUACCAAGGCUUUGACGGGUAGCCGGCCUGAGAGGGUGACCGGCCACAUUGGGACUGAGAUACGGCCCAGACUCCUACGGGAGGCAGCAGUGGGGAAUAUUGCACAAUGGGCGGAAGCCUGAUGCAGCAACGCCGCGUGCGGGAUGACGGCCUUCGGGUUGUAAACCGCUUUCGCCUGUGACGAAGCGUGAGUGACGGUAAUGGGUAAAGAAGCACCGGCUAACUACGUGCCAGCAGCCGCGGUGAUACGUAGGGUGCGAGCGUUGUCCGGAUUUAUUGGGCGUAAAGGGCUCGUAGGUGGUUGAUCGCGUCGGAAGUGUAAUCUUGGGGCUUAACCCUGAGCGUGCUUUCGAUACGGGUUGACUUGAGGAAGGUAGGGGAGAAUGGAAUUCCUGGUGGAGCGGUGGAAUGCGCAGAUAUCAGGAGGAAUACCAGUGGCGAAGGCGGUUCUCUGGGCCUUUCCUGACGCUGAGGAGCGAAAGCGUGGGGAGCGAACAGGCUUAGAUACCCUGGUAGUCCACGCUGUAAACGGUGGGUACUAGGUGUGGGGUCCAUUCCACGUGUUCCGUGCCGUAGCUAACGCUUUAAGUACCCCGCCUGGGGAGUACGGCCGCAAGGCUAAAACUCAAAGGAAUUGACGGGGCCCCGCACAAGCGGCGGAGCAUGCGGAUUAAUUCGAUGCAACGCGUAGAACCUUACCUGGGUUUGACAUGGAUCGGGAGUGCUCAGAGAUGGGUGUGCCUCUUUUGGGGUCGGUUCACAGGUGGUGCAUGGCUGUCGUCAGCUCGUGUCGUGAGAUGUUGGGUUAAGUCCCGCAACGAGCGCAACCCUUGUUCACUGUUGCCAGCACGUUAUGGUGGGGACUCAGUGGAGACCGCCGGGGUCAACUCGGAGGAAGGUGGGGAUGACGUCAAGUCAUCAUGCCCCUUAUGUCCAGGGCUUCACGCAUGCUACAAUGGCUGGUACAGAGAGUGGCGAGCCUGUGAGGGUGAGCGAAUCUCGGAAAGCCGGUCUCAGUUCGGAUUGGGGUCUGCAACUCGACCUCAUGAAGUCGGAGUCGCUAGUAAUCGCAGAUCAGCAACGCUGCGGUGAAUACGUUCCCGGG